rnacentral:rRNA from 1 species
AUACGGAGGGUGCAAGCGUUACUCGGAAUCACUGGGCGUAAAGCGCGCGCAGGCGGCUAUUUAAGUUGGAUGUGAAAGCCUAUGGCUCAACCAUAGAACUGCAUCCAAAACUAUUUAGCUAGAGUGUGGGAGAGGAGGAUGGAAUUAGUUGUGUAGGGGUGAAAUCCGUAGAGAUAACUAGGAAUACCAAAAGCGAAGGCAAUCUUCUGGAACACUACUGACGCUGAGGCGCGAAAGCGUGGGGAGCAAACAGGAUUAGAAACCCGAGUAGUCC